GGAGAUUUAGCUCAGUGGUAGAGCGCUUGCCUAGCAAGCACAAAGCCCUGGGUUCGGUCCCCAGCUCCA
rnacentral:tRNA from 1 species